AUUGAACGCUGGCGGCAUGCUUUACACAUGCAAGUCGAACGGCAGCGCGGGCUUCGGCCUGGCGGCGAGUGGCGAACGGGUGAGUAAUGCAUCGGAACGUGCCCAGUAGUGGGGGAUAGCCCGGCGAAAGCCGGAUUAAUACCGCAUACGACCUGAGGGUGAAAGCGGGGCACCGAAAGGCCUCGCGCUAUUGGAGCGGCCGAUGUCGGAUUAGCUAGUUGGUGGGGUAAAGGCUUACCAAGGCGACGAUCCGUAGCUGGUCUGAGAGGACGACCAGCCACACUGGGACUGAGACACGGCCCAGACUCCUACGGGAGGCAGCAGUGGGGAAUUUUGGACAAUGGGGGCAACCCUGAUCCAGCCAUGCCGCGUGCGGGAAGAAGGCCUUCGGGUUGUAAACCGCUUUUGUUCGGGAAGAAAUCCUCUGGGCUAAUACCCCGGGGGGAUGACGGUACCGGAAGAAUAAGCACCGGCUAACUACGUG
rnacentral:rRNA from 1 species